rnacentral:rRNA from 1 species
UACAGAGGGGGCGAGCGUUGUUCGGAAUUACUGGGCGUAAAGGGCGCGUAGGCGGCCUACUAAGUCAGACGUGAAAUCCCUCGGCUCAACCGGGGAACUGCGUCUGAUACUGGUGGGCUUGAAUCCGGGAGAGGGAUGCGGAAUUCCAGGUGUAGCGGUGAAAUGCGUAGAUAUCUGGAGGAACACCGGUGGCGAAGGCGGCAUCCUGGACCGGUAUUGACGCUGAGGCGCGAAAGCCAGGGGAGCGAACGGG